rnacentral:rRNA from 1 species
CCUACGGGAGGCAGCAGUGGGGAAUCUUGCACAAUGGGGGAAACCCUGAUGCAGCGACGCCGCGUGAGUGAAGAAGUAAUUCGUUAUGUAAAACUCUAUCAGCAGGGAAGAAAAUGACGGUACCUGAGUAAGCACCCCCGGCCAAAUACGUUCCAGCAGCCGCGGUAAUACGUAGGGGGCAAGCGUUAUCCGGAUUUACUGGGUGUAACGGGAGCGUAGACGGUAGUGCAAGUCUGGAGUGAAAGGCGGCGGCUCAACCCCCGUACUGCUCUGGAAACUGUACGGCUGGAGUGCAGGAGAGGUAAGUGGAAGUCCUGGUGUAGCGGUGAAAUGCGUAGAUAUAAGGAGGAACACCAGUGGCGAAGGCGGCUUACUGGACUGUAACUGACGUUGAGGCUCGAAAGCGUGGGUAGCAAACAGGAUUAGAUACCCCUGUAGUC